rnacentral:rRNA from 1 species
UACGAAGGGGGCUAGCGUUGUUCGGAAUUACUGGGCGUAAAGCGCGUGUAGGCGGGUCUUUAAGUCAGGGGGGAAAUGCCAAGGCUCAACCUUGGAACUGCCUUUGAUACUGGAGACCUUGAGUCCGGGAGAGGUGAGUGGAAUUGCGAGUGUAGAGGUGAAAUUCGUAGAUAUUCGCAAGAACACCAGUGGCGAAGGCGGCUCACUGGCCCGAUACUGACGCUGAGGCACGAAAGCGUGGGGAGCAAACAGG